UACGUAGGGUGCGAGCGUUGUCCGGAAUUAUUGGGCGUAAAGAGCUCGUAGGCGGUUUGUCGCGUCGUCCGUGAAAACUCACAGCUUAACUGUGAGCUUGCGGUCGAUACGGGCAGGCUAGAGUUCGGUAGGGGAGACUGGAAUUCCUGGUGUAGCGGUGAAAUGCGCAGAUAUCAGGAGGAACACCGGUGGCGAAGGCGGGUCUCUGGGUAGUAACUGACGCUGAGGAACGAAAGCGUGGGUAGCGAACAGG
rnacentral:rRNA from 1 species